UUGAUCCUGGCUCAGAACGAACGCUGGCGGCGUGCCUAACACAUGCAAGUCGGAUGCGAUCAUCAACGUCGGUUGGUUAGUAGCAUGGCAGACGGGUGAGGAGCACGUACCUGACCUGACACACGGAGGGGGAUAGUCCCCCGAAAGGGGGUUGAAUACCGCGUACGCUCGUCAAGGCAGCUUGAUGAGGAGAGGUGGCCUCUGCAUGCACGCUAUCGCCGUGUGAGGGGGGUGCGUCCUAUUAGCUGGCUGGUGGGGUAAUGGCCUACCAGGGCGACGAUGGGUCGCUGGUCUGAGAGGAUGAUCAGCCACACUGGGACUGAGACACGGCCCAGACUCCUACGGGAGGCAGCAGUGGGGAAUUUUGCGCAAUGGGGGGAACCCUGACGCAGCAACGCCGUGUGAGUGACGACGCCGUUCGCGGUGUAAAGCUCUGUGAGGCGGGACGAAGGCUCCGGGUGAAGAACCUGCGAGGGUGACGGUACCGCCACAGCAAGCCCCGGCUAACUCCGUGCCAGCAGCCGCGGUAAGACGGAGGGGGCGAGCGUUGUUCGGAAUUACUGGGCGUAAAGCGCCCGCAGGCGGUGACGUGAGUGUUUCGUGAAAGCCCCCGGCUCAACCGGGGACGGGCGAAGCAGACUGCGUGACUUGAGUGCUGGAGGGGGAGGCGGAAUUCCUGGUGGAGCGGUGAAAUGCGUAGAGAUCAGGAAGAACGUCAGUGGCGAAGGCGGCCUCCUGGACAGACACUGACGCUGAGGGGCGAGAGCGUGGGGAGCGAACGGGAUUAGAUACCCCGGUAGUCCACGCCGUAAACGCUGGGCACUAGGUGUGGGGGUGGAGAUCACUUCCGUGCCGGAGCUAACGCAGUAAGUGCCCCGNCUGGGGAGUACGGUCGCAAGGCUGAAACUUCAACGAAUUGACGGGGGCCCGCACAAGCGGUGGAGCAUGUGGUUUAUUCGACGCAACGCGCA
rnacentral:rRNA from 1 species